GAGCGAACGCUGGCGGCAGGCCUACCCCAUGCAAGUCGACCGAACCUUUCGGGGUUCGUGGCGGACGGGUGAGUAACACGUGGGAACGUGCCUUUAGGUUCGGAAUAACUCAGGGAAACUUGUGCUAAUACCGAAUGUGCCCUUCGGGGGAAAGAUUUAUCGCCUUUAGAGCGGCCCGCGUCUGAUUAGCUAGUUGGUUGAGGUAAUGGCUCACCAAGGCGACGAUCAGUAGCUGGUCUGAGAGGAUGAUCAGCCACAUUGGGACUGAGACACGGCCCAAACUCCUACGGGAGGCAGCAGUGGGGAAUCUUGCGCAAUGGGCGAAAGCCUGACGCAGCCAUGCCGCGUGAAUGAUGAAGGUCUUAGGAUUGUAAAAUUCUUUCACCGGGGACGAUAAUGACGGUACCCGGAGAAGAAGCCCCGGCUAACUUCGUG
rnacentral:rRNA from 1 species